AAGCCUGAAUUAUUCAAACAAAUUCUGGGGCAGUCUUCUGACUUUUAAAUGAUUCCUGGAAUGACUCCAUGAAAAAUGAGCAGCCAAGCAGGUUCAAGUGACUGCUCUCAGUACUACGUCCGCCUGUGGGUAGAAGCUGAGUGUCACAGCCUGAAAUGAGGGCCUUGUUCCUAUCACAAAGGUCCACGGGCCACAGCAGUUCCCCGUAGUGCAGCGUGUGUCUGGCACUGCACACUGGCUUCCUGGCUGCUGAGCAGG